rnacentral:rRNA from 1 species
GAUGAACGCUGGCGGCGUGCCUAAUACAUGCAAGUCGAGCGAACGGACGAGAAGCUUGCUUCUCUGAUGUUAGCGGCGGACGGGUGAGUAACACGUGGAUAACCUACCUAUAAGACUGGGAUAACUUCGGGAAACCGGAGCUAAUACCGGAUAAUAUUUUGAACCGCAUGGUUCAAAAGUGAAAGACGGUCUUGCUGUCACUUAUAGAUGGAUACGCGCUGCAUUAGCUAAUUGGUAAGGUAACGGCUUACCAAGGCAACGAUGCAUAGCCGACCUGAGAGGGUGAUCGGCCACACUGGAACUGAGACACGGUCCAGACUCCUACGGGAGGCAGCAGUAGGGAAUCUUCCGCAAUGGGCGAAAGCCUGACGGAGCAACGCCGCGUGAGUGAUGAAGGUCUUCGGAUCGUAAAACUCUGUUAUUAGGGAAGAACAUAUGUGUAAGUAACUGUGCACAUCUUGACGGUACCUAAUCAGAAAGCCACGGCUAACUACGUG